GGGGGUGAUCCGGUUUCGACGGGAUGUGUUGAGGUCGGGUUGCGCGUCGUGGAUUCUCGUUGGCCACGUUAAAAAACGGGAAAAACAGUAAUUGCGAACAACGAUUACGCUCUGGCCGCCUAAGUAAUGGCCGCCAUGCCGAAGUGCCGAUGUCUGCUGAGCGCCGAGGCAUCAUCUAGCAGGCCACGCUUGAGAGGGCUCCGCUCGCUCGCUUAAGGGUGCCGAAUCGAGCGGAUGGUUGGGGAUAAGCUCGCCUGGUCGGCGUACCCCAUCCGAGAUCAAAGGCCGGAUACACGCGUAGACGCUCGGGUGACGCCGUUUCGGACAGGGGUUCGACUCCCCUCACCUCCACCA
rnacentral:tmRNA from 1 species